UCCAUUUUCAGGUUAAGGAGAUUGCGAGAAGAUUAAUUGAAGAGCAGGAACAUAACUUAGAGGAUAUUUCACUUCGUUAGAAGGAACUUCUCACCCAUAGAGUACAAUGCUAUUAAAUGCUCUUGAGGAGAUGAAAAAGGUUGGCUUUUGGAUAUGCUCAUGAAGAUGACUUCAGUUUGACACAAAUUGCUGCUUUAGUCUAUGUUUUUGUUUGGAAAGAGUACUUUGUUUUUUUUUGGAUGUGUAAUGGCUGUUACUAGUUGAACUGAUGUGAACUUAGUACUCUAUUGUUUGGAUGGAUAAUGGCUGUUAGUACUUGAACUAA